rnacentral:rRNA from 1 species
AACUUUCAACAAAGGAUCUCUUGGCUCUCGCAUCGAUGAAGAACGCAGCGAAGCGCGAAAUGUAGUGUGAAUCGCAGAACAUUGUGAAUCAUCGAAUCUUUGAACGCAUCUUGCGCCCUUUGGUUAUUCCGAAGGGCAUGCCUGUUUGAGAGUCAUUAU